AGAGUGGGUCAGAUAAAAGUUGACUUCAUCACACUUGAGUACACUACUAAAACUGGGUCAGAUACAAGUUGGCUUCAUCACACUUGAGUACACUACUAAAACUGGCUGAUUGGCUUUAUUUAAAAAUCUAAUCUUUAAAGGCUUGGUGCUGACUGCAACUACAUUUGACCCUAUAAACCUCGAUAGCAUGAAAACCGUACUCGAGUCGUCUGGCAGAGGUCUGCUUGAAAUUGAAACUGAAACCCCUGUAUGAAGUAACACAUUGUGCCACAAUUUUUGUUCCAUGAAUCAUGAAAUGUAUGGUCUGCUGUCCUUUUUAACCUGGAAUAAAGUCAACUACACCAACUGAUUUGGUGCUGAACUACCAUAAUCUUUAUACAUAUUCUGAAAAUCUGGUAUGUCACUGGCAACAUUUACCUGAGCUACAGCAUACUUUUGAUUAUUCCUUGGGCUCGAACUUUGAACAUCACUUACAUCAUUUGCCCAGUCAUUAACUAUAGUGGGCUGCCUUGUAUUUGAAAAGCUAACAAUAUUUAAAUCAGUAACCUGUUUAGCUUUAUUGGAAACAACUGGAACUAAGUCAUUAAUACCAGCUUUUACAUGCUUGUGUUUUUAUGCCCAGUAUUUAGGACACUGUUUUCUUACAUACAAAUAAAAAAGAAAACAUUUAACUGCUGGGACUGGAAAAGUCUCUUCUGCAAUAUCAGUGCAUACAGGAAACAUUUCAUUACUGGCAUCUGAGGCUUGCAAAAUCUGUUUCUGUCUCACCACUAAAUGGACAGCUUUUUCUAAAGUCUUGGCUGUAGCAAUUACAUUUAACUUGAUAGUUGUACCAAGUUUCUGUACUUAUUUUAAAUGAAAUUCAAAGUAGUAAUGUAACACUGUGCAUUUUUGCACCUAUAUAAAAUCAGUUUUAACUGUUAAACUUUUUACAUUUUGUCUCAUGACCCUUAGAUUUUAACAUACUGUUUUGUGAGUAAAACUCCACUUACUUUUUUAUCAUAACCGUUUCUUUAGCUGAUGUCAUUUAACUUUUCAGUAGCACUGAAUGCUGCAAGAAUUUAUUAUUACUGUCUACAAUUUUCUUGGAUAUAUAGUAGAACUGUAAAUGCAUUAAAUGGAUAGCACUGUCUUUAAUUUAGCUUGCUGGCUGGCUGUAAUACGAGCUGAUGUGCUUGGCAAACUGCCAUUUCCAUAUGAAACAUAUACAGUCUUAAACUGAUUACAUAAUGUACGCUUUUAUACAUAGGAUCUGAAUUUUUAACUGUGUUGUCACUUUUAGAAUGUAGAACUAACUUUACAUUUUACAUUCUGUAAACUAGCAAAUAGUAUUUUCUCUUUGUCUAUAUUACAAUACUGUUUAUGCAUUGCAACACUU